UUUUGCCAAGGAUUAGAAAGUAGCUUUCCUGUUGAGAAUGAUGUACAAUACACUCAACUCAACGAGAACUCCAUGUAUCACCAGAAUCUACAGAAGCAUGUUCAUCCUACAAGACUGAUGAGUAGACGAGUUGCAUUCCCCAAUGUUGGUCAGCUGGCAUUUUUGAUGCAACAAAGCCACGAGCAAAUGGACACAUCAAAGCCUUGUCCCCGAUGUUUGGCAGGCGAAUCUGGUCAUAUUAGUCAUAUGGUUCGCUAAACGGCAAAAAGAUCAUGUAAAACUGAAGAGACUUUUUAAUAGCGUUAUGAAGAUUCUACAAGAGAUAUCUAAAUUUCUUAGUAUUUUAUUACAAGGUACUGUUUUCAAACUUAGCCAAUAUUUUACCUUUUGUACUUGAACUGUCUAAUUUACAAUACUUAUUCUUAUAGUAAAGGCAGAACAACAUUAAUUUUCUUACCAAAAGAAGUUAAAAGAAUGUCAGCAAGGUGUUUUCCAACAAUGUAUAUUGUAAAAGUUAUAACUUUGAAUUUUAAAUGAAUGAAGAUAAUACAUGACAUGAAUGCCACAGUAUAGGAUUAAUAAUGUGCUGUUUUCUAAAAGUAUUUAAAUCACUUAUUUUCUUUAAAAGCAUUUUUUAAAAAAUGCUUCAUUGCCUGAUUGAAAAGAGAAGAAUCAAUGACAUGUUGAUUUUAAAGCUGUGUAAAUUGUUUCGAUUUUUGUCUGCAUUUUUCACAUUUAUGUGCCAGAGUGUAAAUAACUUUAAUAUGUGGUAUUUCAUUUAUAAAUUGGGUAUACAGAGUGUUUGUUAUUCAUCUCCCACCUCUUUCAUCUUUUUAAGAAACAGGUGACUCUUCUGGCCUACAAUUCCAUGUGUGUCAGCAAACUGAACAGCCAUUAUAUAGAAGUCUGACUGUGUUUACACACACACAUUUCCCAAUAGCUGACUAGAUAGCUGCUUUGUUAUCCUAUUACCUAGAUAUUCAACAAUGUGACAAAAUGACGUUAAUCUAUAGCCUGAACUGCUGUUCUAUCUAACCAUAACCUCAUCUCUAACUCAUCAAAAAGAUCACAGAUUUUGAGUAAAUCAUUUUGAUUUCUGCCAUACCUAUUGGUGGUCUUGAAUUUGAGAGGUUAGAUAGUCAAACUAUUGGAGGCCUUUGCCAGUGUCAAAUCCAAUAUGUCAAAGCAUUGCACAUGUUGAUGUGCUCUGCAUGGAGGUUGGACUGAGAGGAUGAUACUGCUUUCCUCUUCCCAGAAAAUAAAUUUGCCUCUAUUUUUGUGCUAUCUUCAAUGGACUGACUGGUACCUGGUUUAUCAUUUUGUGAUGGUUUAUAUGAAGUAUGUUCAACAAUAAAAUCUUUAAAAAUAAAAAUUUGAUACCACUUCUGAUUAACUUGUAUUUUGAAAAAUAUUAGAAUCUUGAUACUUACAUUAGAAAAUAUUUACAAGUGUUUGUAUUACUUUUGCUGCAAACUAUUGUAAUUGAAACUCUUUCUUGUGCCAAUUCUUUUUGAAAAACGUUAUUCUGAAACAAAUAUGCUGGACAUGGGAUUUUUUGGUAUCUCAACCAUCAAAUAAAUUGUGAAAGCAAAGUUUUGCACAGAUCACUGAGGGAAUUGUGUUGGUACUGUUCAGAAUAUUUUUGUCUAUUUUGUGUAUAUCUGUAUUUAAUGGGCAUUACGUUGCUUUCUGUGCUCUAUUAGGUUUAACUAAACUCUUGAGCUAAAAUAAACUUGGUGCUAUGAUUCUUA